rnacentral:rRNA from 1 species
GAUGAACGCUGGCGGCGUGCCUAAUACAUGCAAGUCGAACGCUUUGUGGUUCAACUGAUUUGAAGAGCUUGCUCAGAUAUGACGAUGGACAUUGCAAAGAGUGGCGAACGGGUGAGUAACACGUGGGAAACCUACCUCUUAGCAGGGGAUAACAUUUGGAAACAGAUGCUAAUACCGUAUAACAAUGACAACCGCAUGGUUGUUAUUUAAAAGAUGGUUCUGCUAUCACUAAGAGAUGGUCCCGCGGUGCAUUAGCUAGUUGGUAAGGUAAUGGCUUACCAAGGCGAUGAUGCAUAGCCGAGUUGAGAGACUGAUCGGCCACAAUGGGACUGAGACACGGCCCAUACUCCUACGGGAGGCAGCAGUAGGGAAUCUUCCACAAUGGGCGAAAGCCUGAUGGAGCAACGCCGCGUGUGUGAUGAAGGGUUUCGGCUCGUAAAACACUGUUGUAAGAGAAGAAUGACAUUGAGAGUAACUGUUCAAUGUGUGACGGUAUCUUACCAGAAAGGAACGGCUAAAUACGUGCCAGCAGCCGCGGUAAUACGUAUGUUCCAAGCGUUAUCCGGAUUUAUUGGGCGUAAAGCGAGCGCAGACGGUUAUUUAAGUCUGAAGUGAAAGCCCUCAGCUCAACUGAGGAAUUGCUUUGGAAACUGGAUGACUUGAGUGCAGUAGAGGAAAGUGGAACUCCAUGUGUAGCGGUGAAAUGCGUAGAUAUAUGGAAGAACACCAGUGGCGAAGGCGGCUUUCUGGACUGUAACUGACGUUGAGGCUCGAAAGUGUGGGUAGCAAACAGGAUUAGAUACCCUGGUAGUCCACACCGUAAACGAUGAGUGCUAGGUGUUUGAGGGUUUCCGCCCUUAAGUGCCGCAGCUAACGCAUUAAGCACUCCGCCUGGGGAGUACGACCGCAAGGUUGAAACUCAAAGGAAUUGACGGGGACCCGCACAAGCGGUGGAGCAUGUGGUUUAAUUCGAAGCAACGCGAAGAACCUUACCAGGUCUUGACAUCCCUUGACAACUCCAGAGAUGGAGUGUUCCCUUCGGGGACAAGGUGACAGGUGGUGCAUGGUUGUCGUCAGCUCGUGUCGUGAGAUGUUGGGUUAAGUCCCGCAACGAGCGCAACCCUUAUUACUAGUUGCCAGCAUUCAGUUGGGCACUCUAGUGAGACUGCCGGUGACAGACCGGAGGAAGGUGGGGAUGACGUCAAAUCAUCAUGCCCCUUAUGACCUGGGCUACACACGUGCUACAAUGGCGUAUACAACGAGUUGCCAACCCGCGAGGGUGAGCUAAUCUCUUAAAGUACGUCUCAGUUCGGAUUGUAGGCUGCAACUCGCCUACAUGAAGUCGGAAUCGCUAGUAAUCGCGGAUCAGCACGCCGCGGUGAAUACGUUCCCGGGUCUUGUACACACCGCCCGUCACACCAUGAGAGUUUGUAACACCCAAAGCCGGUGGGGUAACCUUCGGGAGCCAGCCGUCUAAGGUGGGACAGAUGAUUAGGGUG